ACAUUAAAAUUAAUCCAUGUACCUUGAUCUCAAUUGAUUGCUAUUCUGAAACUACAAUAGGAAAAUGAAAAUCUGUUCCUUCGUUAAUUAGCAAUGUUUGUAGCAACUUUUAAAAAGUGGAAAUAGGGCCAUUUUCCAUUUAAUCUUGUCCUCAAAAAUAGUAGCCCACUUAGCUUGGUCAUCUUAUUACAGCUUUUCAUAUAAUGAGUUAAAUAUAAGAAAUGUAUUUUCCAUCAAUACAAAAUGCAGAAUGGAGCACUUUUAAAUUAUAUUUACAGCUUUGAGCAGUAAGCAUCAUACAUUGUACAUUACAUCAUACACAAACCUCACAUAUUGUAGGCAGACGUCUUGCACUGAUUCUAUGUGGGCUGGUUUUUAUUUAUAGAAUGAACACAGCCACAUUAUCACUGAACUGACAGUGUUGUAGCUGUUGUUAACCAUGCUGAAGGGUUAUGGUUAAUAUUAACCCUGGACAGAGAGUUCCUGAUCAAGACAAAUGAAAAUUGUGAAUAAAAGAACUUUUUUUCCUAUAAAUUCUAUUUCUUGUCAGCUAUAAAGCCAUUCUGCAGUGCCCAUGCACGAGCAUGUUUAGGCCCUCAAAAAGGUCAUUUUAUUUAACAGGAAUAAUAAUCCAAGCAAUUCCAAUAGGGCCUUAGCACACUUCAUGCUCCGGCCCUAAAAAUGGGGGUUGGUGGGGGGCAAGCGGAACAUGCCCACACACCUGCUGUGUUUUCCAGUCGGGCUCAACCAUACAUCGACAAGAAGAUCGCCGUUUUGGAUGGAUAGUUCCAAGGAAAAGCAUGGGUAAUUAACGCCAUCAGCAAUGGUUCUGUUCCAUGUGGGUGUCCCAGUAGGUGUUCCACAUGCAGUUUUCCUGACCUAAAGAUUUGUCCAAGCUGCAGGUGCCAUUCUCUGCUAAGAAGCCAGUGAAAAACCUCACAGAGCUGCCUUCCAGGACUGCAGGGGGUGCAUUAAUCAGUUUGGCCACUAGAGGAAAGGAAAGCACCAAAACAAGCUGGCAGACCACCACCACAUCUCAGGCCUGAUUGAGCAACAUCAUCCCACAACAUGGGAGUCAUGUUUGUGUCCACCUGAUGAAUGACUUACACUUGAACCAGCAAAUACUUCUGCUCGUAAAAAAAAAGAGACAGACAUGAGGAUUUCCAGAAGGUCCAGGACUUCAGCAGCUGUCUUCUUCUUCUCCUCCCACCUGCAAAGAAAGUUAUAUUAAACAGAGAAACUCAUUAAUACAUCUAUUUUCCUGUUCUAAACAGUGUCCCUCUCAGAAGCUUUAAAUAGUCCUGAAACUUUAUAUAAACAAUUUAUUAUAAAGGAAAGGUAAAGACUAUUUAUCUCUCAAAUUAAAAAAAAAAUUACAUUAAUGUCUAGCCUUAAAAGUCUCUUUAAAGUAAGUAGUCUUUUACUAAACUAAAAAGCACAACGGUCAAUAUUACUUCUAUCAUAUGGUUUUGUUUAUUUCUGUACAUUUUCAGAAUUACAUUUUAGUAAAUGAGUAAAAUGUUUGUUUAUGUUUCAGGAUUGUUGUGUUCCCUGAUCUGUUUUUGUAAGAAAUAAAGAUAUUUUCCUACCUUCACACAUUACUUCCAUUAUUACAUUUAUAUAAGCACUACUACUGUCAUCAUUCCUUCCAUUAUGGUUUUUUAAUCUCUGUAAAAUUUGAGAGAUAGUUCAACUGUCUUUUACAUUUUAAUAACAUUAU